CUGUAGCAAAACUGUUUGAUUUUGGGUCCAAUGGGGGAUUUUUGAAGAGCAAAAGUGUGAUUUUUCGAGUUAAAUGGGGGAUUUUCCAAGAGAAAAUGCACGAUUUUCGUUUACAGGUAGAGAUUUUUUGUUAGAGGAA
rnacentral:lncRNA from 7 species